rnacentral:rRNA from 1 species
AUUGAACGCUGGCGGCAGGCCUAACACAUGCAAGUCGAGCGAGCGGCGGACGGGUGAGUAAUGUCUGGGAAACUGCCUGAUGGAGGGGGAUAACUACUGGAAACGGUAGCUAAUACCGCAUACCCUCAGAUGUGCCCAGAUGGGAUUAGCUAGAAGGUGGGGUAACGGCUCACUUAGGCGACGCUCCCUAGCUGGUCUGAGCGGAUGACCAGCCACACUGGAACGGAGACACGGUCCAUGCUCCUACGGGAGGCAGCAGGGGGGAAUAUUGCACAAAGGGCUCAAGCCUGAUGCAGCCAUGCCGCGUGUGUGAAGAAGGCCUUCGGGUUGUAAAGCACUUUCAGCGGGGAGGCGUUACCCGCAGAAGAAGCACCGGCUAACUCCGUGCCAGCAGCCGCGGUAAUUC